rnacentral:rRNA from 1 species
GUCCUCACCUCCGACGGCGCCACCGGCGAGAUCCUCGUCACCGAUCUCCUCUCCGGCGUGCAGGCCCGCCUCCCCAGGCCCCCGCUGGAGUACAGCCGCGUCAUCCUCAGCGGCGGCUACGUCUUCGCCCCGGUGAAGGGCCGCACGGAGAUCCAGUACUGCAGCCUCUGGUACGCCCACUGGGUCGUCGCGUCCUACGGCGGCGACUCUGAGAUCCAGGACUGGUGCAUCGUCAACGGCGCCCUCUACAGGCUCCUCCCCUCCUGCGGGCUUGUGAUGGCUUUGCUCCCCAAGGAAAACACAAUGGAGCUCUAGAUGCUUGGGGGUGAAUUCGACGAGGACCUUGACGAGACUCUGAAGGAGGCCGUAGGCGGAUCAUUGCUGGGGGAGUGCGGUGGCGAGCCCCUGCUUAUCUGCAAGGUGGGGCGCAUCGGUCCGGAAUACAAGAUUUUCCGAUGGGAUUUCAAUGUGGGGAAGUGGGUGAUGACAACGAGCCUAGGUGGGCGGACGUUGUUUAUUGGCUACGACGAUUUCAUCGCGUGCCUUGGUCCAGAUGUUCCAGGGAUCCGUGCCGACUGUGUGUAUGGAUCAUUGCCAUGGAGUGGGGCAUGGAGCGAGUAUUCUCUUAUCGACGGGACCUGUAAAUGCUUCCCUGUAUAGUAUCCAGGUGAACCAGGGGUUGGUUUCGGGAGGCCGCAGGUUUGGGUGCUUUUAAGCUUGUUCUGCGACUACUGA